rnacentral:rRNA from 1 species
UACGGAGGGUGCGAGCGUUGUCCGGAAUCACUGGGCGUAAAGGGCGCGUAGGUGGCCCCUUAAGUGUGUGGUGAAAGCCCGGGGCUCAACCCCGGGUCGGCCAUGCAAACUGGGGGGCUGGAGCAUUGUAGAGGCAGGCGGAAUUCCGGGUGUAGCGGUGGAAUGCGUAGAGAUCCGGAAGAACACCGGUGGCGAAGGCGGCCUGCUGGGCAAUUGCUGACACUGAGGCGCGACAGCGUGGGGAGCAAACAGG